rnacentral:rRNA from 1 species
AACGAACGCUGGCGGCAGGCCUAACACAUGCAAGUCGAACGCCGUAGCAAUACGGAGUGGCAGACGGGUGAGUAACACGUGGGAACGUACCCUUCGGUUCGGGAUAACUCAGGGAAACUUGAGCUAAUACCGGAUACGUCCGAGAGGAGAAAGAUUUAUCGCCGAGGGAUCGGCCCGCGUCUGAUUAGCUUGUUGGUGGGGUAAUGGCUCACCAAGGCAACGAUCAGUAUCCGGCCUGAGAGGGCGGACGGACACACUGGGACUGAGACACGGCCCAGACUCCUACGGGAGGCAGCAGUGGGGAAUUGUUCGCAAUGGGCGCAAGCCUGACGACGCAACGCCGCGUGGAGGAUGAAGACCUUCGGUCGUAAC